AUUAUAAUAUAAUUAUAAAUUACUAAGUCCUGUGUUUUAAAGCCCUGUUUUUCUGAUGGAUGUGAAUAAGUAGUAGAUAAGUUAUGAAUGUUCCAAUGAGGGUACGGGUACUCAGAACAUUUGUAACUCAUCUAAUACUUGUUCCAGUGACAUAGCCAGAGCUGGGAAGGGGGCAAAAUAUUGGACAGAUCGGAAAAUUCUGACCAGUACAAGCAUGUGCAUUAUAUUUUCAUUUCUUGCAAUGGAAUUUUUAAAUCCUAAGUUUUAAAUGUUCUGCAUUCGGUUCUGAUUAAGUAGAGUUGUUAUGUGUUAUGUGUUAGAUGGUUAUUUAAAGUCACCAAAUCGCAUUAAAAUAGAAAUGAAAAUG